rnacentral:rRNA from 1 species
UACGGAGGGUGCGAGCGUUGUCCGGAAUCAUUGGGCGUAAAGGGCGCGUAGGUGGCCCGGUCAGUUCGUGGUGAAAGCGCGGGGCUCAACCCUGCGUCGGCCAUGAAUACUGCCGCGGCUGGAGCACUGUAGAGGCAGGUGGAAUUCCGGGUGUAGCGGUGGAAUGCGUAGAGAUCCGGAAGAACACCCGUGGCGAAGGCGGCUCUCUGGGACGGUACUGACGCUGAGACGCGAAAGCGUGGGGAGCGAACAGG